rnacentral:rRNA from 1 species
UAAUACGGAGGGUCCGAGCGUUAUCCGGAAUCAUUGGGUUUAAAGGGUCCGUAGGCGGGCCUGUAAGUCAGGGGUGAAAGUUUGUGGCUCAACCAUAAAAUUGCCUUUGAUACUGCAGGUCUUGAGUCAUGGUGGGGUUGCCGGAACAUGUGGUGUAGCGGUGAAAUGCAUAGAUAUCACAUAGAACACCGAUCGCGAAGGCAGGUGACCAACCAUGUACUGACGCUGAUGGACGAAAGCGUGGGUAGCGAACGGGAUUAGAUACCCCGGUAGUCCACGCCGUAAACGAUGGAUACUAGCUGUGGGGACUUCGGUCUCCGUGGCCAAGCGAAAGUGAUAAGUAUCCCACCUGGGGAGUACGUUCGCAAGAAUG